rnacentral:lncRNA from 1 species
AUCUGACAGCCUGGGUCAGCACCCACACCCCCAGGUGAGCAUCUGGCAACCUGGAACAGCAUCUACAGCCCCAGGUGACCAUCUGACAGCCUGAAGCAGCACCCACACCCCCAGGUGAGCAUGUGACCACAUGGAAUGUCAUCCUCACCUCCAGGUGAGCAUCGGACAGCCUGGAACAGAAUUCUCAAGCCCCAGGUGAGGAUCUGACAACCUGGAACAGAACCCCACUCUUCCAGGUGAGAAUAUGACAGCCUGAAACAGCACCCCGCACCCAGGCAAAAAUCUGACAGCAUGGAACAAGACUACUGCCCCCAGGUGAACAUCUGAUAGCCUGGAACAGAACCCCAGGCCUCCCAGUAAGCAUCUGAAAGCAAGGAACAGCACUCUCACCCCCAGGGGAGCAUCUGACAACCUAGAACAGCACCCUCACCCCGAGGUGGGCAUCUGGCAGCAUAAAACAGCACCCCUACUGGCAGAUGAGCAUAUGACAGCCUGGAACAGCACCCACACCCGCUGGCGAGAAUCUGACAGCCUGGAGCAACACCCACACCCCCAGGUGAG